GACGAACGCUGGCGGCGUGCCUAAUACAUGCAAGUCGAGCGAACGGACCAGAAGCUUGCUCCCCUGAUGUUAGCGGCGGACGGGUGAGUCACAUGUGGAUAACCUACCUAUAAGACUGGGAUAAUUUCGGGAAACCGUAGCUAAUAACGGAUAAUAUUUUGAACUGCAUGGUUCAAAAGUGAAAGACGGUCUUGCUGUCACUAAUAGAUGGAUCCGCGCUGCAUUCGCUAGUUGGUAAGGUAACUGCUUACCAAGGCAACGAUGCAUAGCCGACCUGAGAGGGUGAUCGGCCACACUGGAAGUGAGACACGGUCCAGACUCCUACGGGAGGCAGCGGUAGAGAAUCUUCCGCGAUGGACGAGAGCCGGACAGAGCAACGCCGCGUAAGUGAUGAUGGUCUUCGGAUCGUAAAGCUCUGUUAUUAGGGAAGAACAUAUGUGUAAUUAACUGUGCACAUCUUGACGGUACCUAAUCAAAAAGCCACGGCUAACUACGUG
rnacentral:rRNA from 1 species